GAAUCGAAACAUUCGGGUCAUCCUCCAUACUGGCAGCAACAACAGCAAUAUUUUCAGCCGAACGCACAUUACGAUGAUGGUUUCACAAUAUCCGCUACGGAUCCAGUUUGUUCGAAUUUACGCACUAUAUUAGCGAUUGUGUGCCGACCAAAAUCCGUCCGUAAUGCUCGAAAAACAUUUUCCGGUUUUUCAUCAUUUUUAUAGUUAAAUUUAACAAAAUAACACGUUGUGCGAUGCUAAAACGAUCCAUAUUGUAAAAUGGCAGACAUUCAACUAACGAUAUGACGCUUUGGUUGACAGCUAUGUCAAACGGUUGUCAGCGCAGGGCUGUAUACUUUCGGAAGCUCGAAAUGGAAAACCCUGUACUUUCGAGCAAGCGCAUAAAGAGAUGAUGCCUCGAUAAUUUUCAACAUUCAUGCCUUCUUGAAACGACAUGUUAAAAAGCUGUGUUAAUGGAUGCACCAAUGCGCUUGAACAACGUUUCAAAACGCAGGAGGGAAUUCCAUCCGGGCUAGCUGAAGUAGAGUAUUUCAUCUUGGCAAUAGCAGAUUCUACUUGUUCAUGGGUAACAGUAAUACCUGUCUGUUCACAGACAUUGUUUGGUGUGUCUCUGCAAGCAACUUCUGCCUGUUCAUCGGAAGCGAUGGAGCUAUUGAAUGCGCUUUUGAAAUGCGUAGCGAAAAGCUCGCUUUUUUCAGAAGGUGAUCGAGCUAAUUGGGAAACCCAGGAACAUUUCUACCGGUAGUCCACUUUCUUUCCGUUUAGUGUUUACGAAAUUUCAAAACCGUCUCGGAUAUCUCCGUAGGUUGUCUUAUGUACGAAGAGUGUAACGUUUGUACAGAUAUCGGUUGUAAAUUGGGUAAUUGUUGCUGGCGCGAGCAAACUGCAACUAUAGAAGGAAUAACGAGUUCUACAAUAUCUCCGAAAUGUUCUCGACCUUGUACGUUUUAGGCAUCGCAAACGUGCAUUUCUCCAGGGUGGCUUUUGAAAUGGUCUGCGUGUAGAUACAUUUUCUGCUAAAGCAGUGUUAACGAUACAUGAAAAAAGACUCACAGCCUGAUCGAUGUUGGUUGAUUUUUCUAAAAAUGUCCAAUUUGUUUGGUGAAAAACUUCACUCAAAGUGUUAUAGUCAGCUUUUUGGUAGUUCAACUCAGGGUCGUUUGUAUAUUGUUCGAAUACGGUUGGAAUUGGAGCUUCGAACUCGACUGAUAAGGCGGAUUGGUCAGUGUCGAUGCUAGUUAGCGGUUCUAUAGCUUCUGAUAACUGACAUUGUCCUAUUAGAGAAUCUGAUAUCAGUACUAGGUCGAGUAGUCGUUUAUUUCUAUUCAGGGUUCCAUUUAUUUGCAUCAAGCCAUUCAAACUGAAAUCAUCCAAUAGUGCAGUACAUGCAAUAGAAGUAUGUGAUCUCAUCACAUCUACCGUUAGAUAGUUUGGAGUGAUGGGGGUCCAUACAAGCCCAGGUUGGUUGUAAUCCCCAAACAGAAGUGCGUGAUCCAGUGCAUGGAGGUCCGAAACAAUAGCACUGAUAGAUUCAAUAUGUUUGACAACUAUUGUACUACGAAUUUCAAAUAAAACUGUAUUUUUUUUUAUCCAAAAUAUAUAUUUUUAUUAAGGCUCAUAUGGCGUCAGCCUAACGGGGCCGGGAGUUAAAUUUUUCUACAAUCUUUGCUUACAACUAUGUUAGUAAUAUGUAACCGAUUACUCGCGGUUGGCUCGAGGUUAGUAUUACAAGUGUUCUCAUAAUUGGUAUGUUGCAGUCUUCGAUGCUCUGUACGUGUGCCCGACACGGGAUACCUGCUAUUGGGAUGCAGCUGACCAUUAAUCAGCAACGCCCCCCUAGUCUGUACCCCAUAUCUAGCGUGGUGCGUCUUUCUCGACUCGAGGAAUCCAGGAUAGAAUGGUCACUAGCCGGCGCAAUCAUCAGCUCGUGUAGAGUUGUCAUAAGCGGUUAAAGUAUUGCUGUCAGGAAUGGUGUGAACCCGGUUGUUUUAAUAUCAGGUGUAUCCAAAAUUUAACAAAAAAGGACAAAAAUUGUUAAUUACUUCAAAGAGUAAUAGUUGACAAACAGUUCUAAAAAUGACGGCGGUUUUUGAUAAAAUAGUCCGGAAAUUGAGAAACGUUUCUAAACAUCUUAGGUGGGUUUUUAUGCUUAUCACUGUAUUUGCAAAUUGUUUAAAGCAGUAGUUCUUCUAUUAGAAUGAAACUCUUCUUUCCAAAAAAUUAUUUUUGUUGCUUCUGACUGUUUAAAAAUGAAUGUCAUCUAAGGCCAUCUACACACUAGGCAACCUAAGUUGGAAAGCAACUUAACGAAUCUGUCAAAAAAGUUGAGAGCAUGUGUAAUCAAAUGGGAGCAUACACACUAGGCAACUGGCAACUUUGGUCGGACCAACUUUUUCGAUUCAACUCAGCAUGUCGAGUCGCGCGCGAUUUGUGUCGGCAACCUUUUCGUUCAAUUGCUGUUGACGUUUUGAUUUCUGCGUUCAUUGAAUUUCAAUAUCUGUCAGUGGUGAUGCAAAACAGUGUUUACAAUAUUGGCGCAUCUGUUUCUAUGAACGAACGAGAUGAAAUGCCUUCAAUAUGCAAGUUCUCUUGAUAUACCGUCCGGGAAGAGUGCUGAAUUGGUCAAGGAUGCGUAUAAUAUUGGAGAUUGAGCAAAAAGCACAGAAUCCGCUGGAUGUGUUUUUUCCAAGUUAACAGCAAUUGUUGCUGUCUGUUGUUAUCAGCGAGCCGAAAUAAGUAUGUUAGAUAGCCUAAGAUUGGAUAAUUCUGGUCAGAUUUCCCGGGAAACCGUUAUCAUCCCUGAUUCUCGAUUGUACCAUGUGCGAAGUUGCGGUCUGCGAAUAUGUGACCCCUGGGAGAAUUUUUCAUAUUUAGCGUUAGUGUAUACAUAAAUCAUUCUUUAGAAGAAUUGUUGAAAAUUUUUCUGUUUUCUUUAUAUAAUUCUUUUCGGCUGUAUUCUUAUUUCAAUGAUUUUUUUAUGUUUGUAAAUAUUGUUUGCUGGUUUGUGGUAUUACUCCAACGAAAAAUAAAUAUAUACAUCCAUUUUUUAGAAAUAUUUAGAAUUUAGAAAAAAAAGCAGAACCCAAAAGAAAUUCUGAAAUCUAUUGUACACACGAAGGAAUAUUAAGACAACGGUAUAUUUUUUAAAUAAAAAUGGUAUUAUUGUUUGAUAUAUGAGAUGAAACACCUUCGAAAAAAGUACAUCCAGGAAUGCCAGAUAAGCAGAUUUUUUUUCUGCUAUAGUGUAAAUUGUAUUUCAAAUGUGCCCUUUUGAUUCUAUUGUAGUUUUAAGAAGCCGCGUAUGCAUUCAAUUUGAUUCGAUGAUUUGUGAAAUUAAGUUUUUAUUUAUUUUUUCUUUGCCUGGUGUCAAGAAAAAUCCCAAGUAAAGUAGUUUUUUUCAAACCAAUUUUUCAUAAUUUGCUCUCCGUAUGAUUUUUUCGGCAGUUAAAUAAAUGGCAUCUCUGCCAGCGAUUAGGCAGUUUAUGAUGACGGAUAAAAACUUAACGAAUUCAUCGCGUUCGAGUUGUCUCAAUGUGCAGAGCUGAGUUGGCGAUGCGAUUGACAUCGCCAACAUAGAUCGGGUUGCUGUUGCCUAAAGGCCCAUUUAUACGUUGCUAGUAGCUGACUUGACAAUGAGCAGCUACUGACCCGGUGGACUCGCUUGACAAUUGGUUGACUCGCCUUGUCCGUUCACAUAGUGUGAGCUGCUGGCGAGAAACUAGAUACUACGGCACGGGUUUACCUGGGAUGCCAGGCGAUUUUUCAAAUGUCCAUCAAAUAGUCAGAAACAGCAAUCAGGUCCGAAUUUGUCAAAUGAUUGGUCCGAAAUCGACUUCUUUAUUGGUAGUUUUCAUCUUAGGUUUUCAGUUGAAUGUAUCAUUACACAAUUUUAUAGAGAUUACAGAGCAGUGUUGAGAAUAACACCUGAACAAGUGGAAAAACUGUUGAAUUUAAU